rnacentral:rRNA from 1 species
UACAGAGGUCUCAAGCGUUGUUCGGAUUCAUUGGGCGUAAAGGGUGCGUAGGCGGAGAGGUAAGUCGGGUGUGAAAUCUCGGAGCUUAACUCCGAAACUGCAUUCGAUACUGCCGUGCUUGAGGACUGGAGAGGAGACUGGAAUUUACGGUGUAGCGGUGAAAUGCGUAGAUAUCGUAAGGAAGACCAGUGGCGAAGGCGGGUCUCUGGACAGUUCCUGACGCUGAGGCACGAAGGCCAGGGGAUCAAUCGGG